CAUCAGCAAAAGAACUGAAAAUAAUAGUUCUUCACUCUUUAAGAGCUUACACACAAAAACUCAAAUGAAAAGCUAAGCUAAAAACGAAAAUCAACAACAUUCUUCUCGAUGGAUUGUGUUUGGGAUUUUGGUGGUGAGGCAGUGGUUUCGUGGGAAAUUGGCAGCAUUUAAACAAGUGUGGAACGACAUUAAGGUGCAGGUGCAGCUGGAUGCUAGAGUUUAUGAGUCGACGCUGAAGUUCUCCGGACAUGGAGCUUUUAUCCAAAUUUUGUAGGCCCUCAUACUUUUGAGUAUGCUUACUAUUUUAUUCUAGCAUUAGACGUAGGCAUUAGCUAGUGGAGUAUGUUCCACUAGUGUUUAUUUCCCAGUUAUUUCAAAUAUUGUAUUGGUGCCAUUUUGGCAACUUUACAGUGUAUACAGAUAGUGACUAUGUUUUUCAUUUGA